GCCCGGCUAGCUCAGUCGGUAGAGCAUGAGACUCUUAAUCUCAGAGUCGUGGGUUUGAGCCCCAUGUUGGGCG
rnacentral:tRNA from 2 species